rnacentral:rRNA from 1 species
AGAGACGUCCCAGUGACCCGAAAGGGAACCGUAACACAGGUGCUGCAUGGCUGUCGUCAGCUCGUGUCGUGAGAUGGUUGGGUUAAGUCCCGCAACGAGCGCAACCCUUACCAUUAGUUGCUACAUUCAGUUGGGCACUCUAAUGGGACUGCCGGUGACAAACCGGAGGAAGGUGGGGAUGACGUCAAGUCCUCAUGGCCCUUAUGGGUAGGGCUUCACACGUAAUACAAUGGCCGGUACAGAGGGUUGCCAACCCGCGAGGGGGAGCCAAUCCCAGAAAGCCGGUCGUAGUCCGGAUUGUUCUCUGCAACUCGAGAGCAUGAAGUCGGAAUCGCUAGUAAUCGCGGAUCAGCACGCCGCGGUGAAUACGUUCCCGGGUCUUGUACACACCGCCCGUCACACCAUGGGAGUGGGUUUCACCAGAAGCAGCUAGCCUAACCGCAAGGAGGGCGGCUUCCACGGUGAGAUUCAUGACUGGGGUGAAGUCGUAACAAGGUAAGCGUAGAUGA